UUUUCCUACGGGAGGCAGCAGUAGGGAAUUUUCGUCAAUGGGCGCAAGCCUGAACGAGCAAUGCCGCGUGAACGAGGAAGGUCUUCGGAUCGUAAAGUUCUGUUGAAGGGGAAAAAGAGCGGAGAGAGGAAAUGAACUCCGAUUGAUAUUACCCUUCGAGGAAGUCACGGCUAACUACGUGCCAGCAGCCGCGGUAAUACGUAGGUGGCGAGCGUUAUCCGGAAUGAUUGGCCGUAAAGGGUGCGUAGGCGGCCUGCUAAGCUUGGAGUGA
rnacentral:rRNA from 1 species